GACGAACGCUGGCGGCGUGCUUAACACAUGCAAGUCGAACGGAAAGGCCCCCACUUUUUUGGUGGGGGUGCUCGAGUGGCGAACGGGUGAGUAACACGUGGGUGAUCUGCCCUGUACUUCGGGAUAAGCUUGGGAAACUGGGUCUAAUACCGGAUAGGACCAUGGUUUAGUGUCUCAUGGUGGAAAAAUUAUUGUUUUGGUGCAGGAUGAGCUCGCGGCCUAUCAGCUUGUUGGUGGGGUAAUGGCCUACCAAGGCGUCGACGGGUAGCCGGCCUGAGAGGGUGGACGGCCACAUUGGGACUGAGAUACGGCCCAGACUCCUACGGGAGGCAGCAGUGGGGAAUAGUGCACAAUGGGCGCAAGCCUGAUGCAGCGACGCCGCGUGGGGGAUGACGGCCUUCGGGUUGUGAACUCCUUUCGUUAGGGACGAAGCCGCACCUUUUUUGGGUGUGGUGACGGUACCUUUGUGAAGAAGCACCGGCUAACUACGUG
rnacentral:rRNA from 1 species